rnacentral:rRNA from 1 species
GACGAACGCUGGCGGCGUGCCUAACACAUGCAAGUAGAACGCAGUGGCGAACGGGUGAGUAAUACGUGGGUAACCUGCCCUCUUUUUUGGGAUAACUCUUGGAAACGAUGUCUAAUACCGAAUAAAGGUGGAUGGGCUCGCGGCCUGUCCGCUUGUUGGUGGGGUGCUGGCCUACCCAGGCGGUGAUGGGUAGCCGGCCUGAGAGGGUGAACGGCCACAUUGGGACGGAGAAAAGGCCCAGACGCCGACGGGGUGCAGCAGUGUGGGAUAUUGCACAAUGGGCGAAAGCCUGAUGCAGCGUCGCCGCGUGGGGGAUGAAGGUUUUCGGGUUGUAAACCUCUGUCGGUAUCGGACGGGUAGGUGGAGAAGAAGCGCCGGCUAACUACGUGCCAGCCGCCGCGGUAAUAC